rnacentral:rRNA from 1 species
CGGGGUGGAGGUAAUGCUUGGGAAUCUAGCUUAUGAGGGGGAGUAACUACGGGAAACUGUAGCUAAUACCGCGUAAUAUCGAAAGAUUAAAGUGUGGGACCUUCGGGCCACAUGCCAUAGGAUGAGCCCAAGUGGGAUUAGGUAGUUGGUGAGGUAAAGGCUCACCAAGCCGACGAUCUCUAGCUGGUCUGAGAGGAUGACCAGCCACACUGGGACUGAGACACGGCCCAG